rnacentral:rRNA from 1 species
AGAGGUGGCAAGCGUUGUUCGGAAUUACUGGGCGUAAAGGGCGCGUAGGCGGUUCGUUAAGUCCUGUGUGAAAUCCCCCGGCUCAACUGGGGAACUGCACAGGAAACUAGCGGGCUUGAGUUCGGGAGAGGGAAGCGGAAUUCCGGGUGUAGCGGUGAAAUGCGUAGAUAUCCGGAGGAACACCGGUGGCGAAGGCGGCUUCCUGGACCGACACUGACGCUGAGGCGCGAAAGCUAGGGGAGCAAACGGGAUUAGAUACCCCGGUAGUCCUAGCUGUAAACGAUGAGUGCUGGGUGUAGGGGGUAUUAACCCCCCCUGUGCCGAAGCUAACGCAUUAAGCACUCCGCCUGGGGAGUACGGUCGCAAGGCUG